rnacentral:rRNA from 1 species
UACGUAGGGGGCAAGCGUUGUCCGGAAUCAUUGGGCGUAAAGCGCGUGUAGGCGGCCCGGUAAGUCCGCUGUGAAAGUCGGGGGCUCAACCCUCGGAUGCCGGUGGAUACUGUCGGGCUAGAGUGCGGAAGAGGCGAGUGGAAUUCCUGGUGUAGCGGUGGAAUGCGCAGAUAUCAGGAGGAACACCAAUAGCGAAGGCAGCUCGCUGGGACGUUACUGACACUGAGGCGCGAAAGCGUGGGGAGCGAACAGG